UACGGAGGGUGCAAGCGUUAAUCGGAAUUACUGGGCGUAAAGCGCACGUAGGCGGUUUGCUAAGCCAGCUGUGAAAUCCCCGGGCUCAACCUGGGCACUGCAGUUGGAACUGGCAAGCUAGAGUAGGGUAGAGGGGUGUGGAAUUCCAGGUGUAGCGGUGAAAUGCGUAGAUAUCUGGAGGGACAUCAGUGGCGAAGGCGACAACCUGGACACAUACUGACGCUGAGGUGCGAAAGCGUGGGGAGCAAACAGG
rnacentral:rRNA from 1 species